rnacentral:rRNA from 1 species
GGAAGGAUCAUUACCGAAUCGCCAAACACGGGUUGUUGCUGGCCCCCAAACCGGGCACGUGCACGCCCUGUUUACGCAUCCACUCACACCUGUGCACCCUCUGUAGUUCUGUGGAUCGGGAGACGUCGUCUUCCUUCCGUGGCUCUACGUCUUUACACACACACCGUAGCCAAGUCUCAUGGAAUGUUUUUCGCGUUUAACGCAAUACAAUACAACUUUCAGCAACGGAUCUCUUGGCUCUCGCAUCGAUGAAGAACGCAGCGAAAUGCGAUAAGUAAUGUGAAUUGCAGAAUUCAGUGAAUCAUCGAAUCUUUGAACGCACCUUGCGCCCCUUGGUUAUUCCUCGGGGCAUGCCUGUUUGAGUAUCAUGAACACCUCAACUCUCGUGGUCUUCCAUGAUGAGCUUGGACUUUGGGGGUUUGCUGGCCCUGUGGCCGGCUCCUCUCAAACGAAUCAGCUUGCCAGUGUUUGGCGGCGUCACGGGUGUGAUAACCAUCUACGCUCGCGAUCGCCUGCCAGAUAACCCUCAGCGAUGAAGGUUCAUUGGGGCUCAUAAAAGUCUCUCCACGGCGAGGACGGAUUUUGAAUGUUCGAUCUCAAAUCAGG